UUUGGCUUUACACAUAUGAAUUCAUGGUGUUUAUGUAUGGUUAUAGGUUACGGAUACAACGUCGUUAAACAAUUUCAGGACAAUUAAAUUGCUGAUUCAAUCGAACAUAUGGUAUGAACAUGGUUCGUUUCACGGGGUGUUUCGGUGUCUUGCCUUGAAUCAAGGCGUGUAAAAACGUUAUGUGUGAUCCUUAUACACCAGCUGGUGUUCCAAUUCCAACCAACAAGAGGCACAACGCUGCUAAAAUUUUCAGACACCCAUCGUUGCCUCCGAGGAGCCUUGCAACCACGAUGCAUGAAGAAGAUUCAGGUGAUGUUUCAAUUGAUCUUUUAUCUUUAAUUUAUCGAUUUUCUAAUUUUACAAAAAUGUUCUCACUGAGUAGAAUAUACUUUUGAGUUUUGAGUUAAAUCUUUCACAGUCUGUUGUGGAUUAGCAACGUUUCAAGCCAUAUUAACUAUUGUGUUGUGGCAGUUCGAAAGAUUCAUAUAAAUUGGACUAUUGCUACAAAAAAAAAACAGAAUCACAGGUUCAAUUCUAUCAAAUGAGAUAAAGCCUCUUAUCUCUACUGUCUGUGAGGGUAAAGAUGCUAAUGUCAUCGCCCACGGAGCAAGAAAUUGCGGAAAAACACAUCUCAUACAUGUAUUGAAAGCAAUCCCAUUAAGGUAUUGAUUAUCAGACAUGAUACUAUAGAUGAAAAAUGCUAAUUAUUGUAUCGUAUGGUUUGUAGGGAAAUGAUAGGGAGCUUGGUUUAACCGUUCUUACAAUGUCUGAGAUGCUAUCCAUGGCUGUAUCAGUUUCUGUAUCAAUUUACGAGGUUUCUCAAGAAACCGUGUAUGACCUUUUAGACCAAGAGAAGCGAGUGGUUGCUGUACUGGAAGGUGCACAAGGGAAAAUUCAACUAAAGGGACUUCCUCAGGCAAGUCAUUUAUUGUUCUUGAUCAUUAAGUCUUGGAACGUCAUAUGUAUUUUGGAGAUUACCAUCAUUAAUAUUUCAAUGUUUCUGCUUUCAGAUACCUGUGAAGUCACUCUCAGAAUUCCAUAAAGGUGUGAUGAUACAUGUUACCACUGGCAACGCCAAUCCAGGCUCCCUUGGGAGGAUGAACUUUCUUGAUAUGGCAGAAUGUCAUGUAUGCUCUCAACGGAAAUGAAUCCCAUGUGCCAUAUCGGGAGAGCAAACUCACUCGAAUGCUGAAAGAUUGUUUAAAAGGAUGCAACAGACGUUGCUGAUCACAUGCUUGCCAAAACUCCUUUUACAUGUUAAACUUAGCAUCACAGAUCUGUCUAUGUAGUAACCGAGCCAUGAAUAAUCCUACUAAGAAGAAGAUCAACGGUCUUGAAAGAUCUAUUUCAUUAUGCUCUGCCGCUCAAAGGAAACAGAUACCUUUGAUUGUGUCUGCUACUUCUAGAAAACAGACAGUGCUAAGGGAAAAUGUGACAGAGAGAAAAGACUAAAAUCAACACUGAUGCUUCUGUAAUUAAAGCAAGGAAAAUGUUCCGGGAAGCAAACGAUUCGGUGAAAUGUAAAAAUAGCAUGUUGGAAAAUUUAAUUAAUACGUCAUGAAGUUGAACAAUCUAGAUUCUUCCUUUACAAAGAGGGUCACGACAUACAUACUAUAAUUGAUAGAGAGUAUUAUCGUCAUCGUGGAUUCAAGUUUUUCCAAGGACGAUGGAUACAUGGCCGGCCCUAUAGACAUCAACAAGAAACUUUUGCUGUAGCCCAAAUUUUGUUUCUGACAUUCUUCAACAAAAAUUAUUUACGAAACGGCCCUAAUUUUAUUUAUUUUACUAUAAUUGGCCCUAAAUUUUAAAACCUUUCAAAAUAACCAAAAUUUUUUUUUUGAGUAU